UUCACACCUCAGUGGCUGCGCGCCUUCAACCUACAGCUCAAGGGCGUCCGCCCGGAAAAGCCAACCUCCCGCCUCUUUGCCGAGUUCCCCCGCCGUCCCCACCCUGGCCCCCACCCGGCCCAGCCGGCUGCGGUCAGGCGGGGGGACGCGGCCUUGGCAGCCCAUCCGAGGUAUACAUCUGGGAGCAGAAAUGCAGAAGCCCCGCAUUUAAUGGUUUGAAGAACUUCCAGACUUUUCUGAGCAGCUGCACCAUUUUACGUUCCCACCAGCGGUGUGUGAGGCUUCCGGUUUUCCACGUACUUGUCCAAAGGCUUGGUACUACCUGACGUCUUGACUCUCGCCACCAGUACGGGAUAGAGAUGGUGUCUCUGUGUGGUUUCAAUUUAAUUUGAUGCCUAAAAAUGUGGAGCGUCUUUCUGUGGG